rnacentral:rRNA from 1 species
CCUACGGGAGGCAGCAGUGAGGAAUAUUGGUCAAUGGACGAGAGUCUGAACCAGCCAAGUAGCGUGAAGGAUGACUGCCCUAUGGGUUGUAAACUUCUUUUAUAUGGGAAUAAAAUGUUCCACGUGUGGGAUUUUGUAUGUACCAUAUGAAUAAGGAUCGGCUAACUCCGUGCCAGCAGCCGCGGUAAUACGGAGGAUCCGAGCGUUAUCCGGAUUUAUUGGGUUUAAAGGGAGCGUAGGUGGAUUGUUAAGUCAGUUGUGAAAGUUUGCGGCUCAACCGUAAAAUUGCAGUUGAAACUGGCAGUCUUGAGUACAGUAGAGGUGGGCGGAAGUCGUGGUGUAGCGGUGAAAUGCUUAGAUAUCACGAAGAACUCCGAUUGCGAAGGCAGUUCACUGGACUGCAACUGACACUGAGCCUCGAAAGUGUGGGUAUCAAACAGGAUUAGAUACCCCGGUAGUC